rnacentral:rRNA from 1 species
AUGUAUUCAAGGCUGGCUUCCAGACAGACCCAUGGAUCAGGGGUGUUGUCCCGUGCCCACCGCAGGCUUAUGUGUCCGAACAAUUGGAAUUUUUUUGCUACCGCACCGGCAACAGAGCUAUCAAGGAAUUUCCUUGUGCAUGAGAAUCCUAGAUUCUUACGGAUAACUGGAUUAGCGCUCAAACAACAGCUUGUCGAAGAUGAACUAAUCGACCAUGAGAUGAUGUCAGUCAUCAUUAGAAGGUAUUCUCAGUCUGACCAGGAAGCAGACAAACAUUCACCAUACUUAACGUGGAGGCACCCGCUUGAACCAGAAUUCUCGACUCUGGUAUUAUCCGAUCAUGAUUACAUCCAUACGCUGUCUAUCCAGAAAGCAUUAUCUGCGGCGGGACUCGAGUAUGACAUCACAUCGGCUCAACUGUUCUUCACGCCAGUCCCACGACGUGAAGGGUGGAUCGUCAUUUUCUGGGACAUGGUAACACGCACCAUUUUUGUUGUUGAUCCCAUGUACAGCAAGAAGAGCCAACCCCUGACCACACAACACAGAGAUGAGAUUUUAGCUUGGAAACUACAUGGAGCACUGUUCAGUUGCGUAAAUGAGUACUAUGCUGGGUGGCCCGUGAGCAAAGAUCGGUGGACUAUCCAGUUCCCCGCCCUUGCUGAUAGCAUUUUUUUCCGAAAAGAAACUGGUGCAUGUGUUGUCUUUAUCACCCGUCAUUUUGAUGGCAAGAAGCUGAAGAUUCCCCUCACAAAGCACACAAUGUCAAAAGCAAAGCGGGAAAUGCUUCAUGAGUGCAUGAAGUUGCAGGGAAAUUUCUCACCACAUGCACGUGAUGCUCUCUGGCGCCUUCUUGCACCAUCAGACUCCAUUUUUGAAGCAGAAUAG